rnacentral:rRNA from 1 species
AGUGAACGCUGGCGGUAGGCCUAACACAUGCAAGUCGAACGGCAGCACAGUAAGAGCUUGCUCUUACGGGUGGCGAGUGGCGGACGGGUUAGGAAUACAUCGGAAUCUACUUUUUCGUGGGGGAUAACGUAGGGAAACUUACGCUAAUACCGCAUACGACCUACGGGUGAAAGCAGGGGAUCUUCGGACCUUGCGCGAUUGAAUGAGCCGAUGUCGGAUUAGCUAGUUGGCGGGGUAAAGGCCCACCAAGGCGACGAUCCGUAGCUGGUCUGAGAGGAUGAUCAGCCACAAUGGAACUGAGACACGGUACAGACUCCUACGGGAGGCAACAGUGGGGAAUAUUGGACAAUGGGCGCAAGCCUGAACCAGCCAUACCGCGUGGGUGAAGAAGGCAUUAGGGUUGUAAAGACCUUUUGUUGGGAAAGAAAAGCAGAAGGUUAAUACCCCGCUGUUCUGACGGUACCAAAAGAAUAAGCACCGGCUAACUUCGUG